CAUUAAGUGGCUGAAAUUUUAAGCAUUGGUCUCUUAAACCAAAAAAUAGUAAAUUAUACCUACUCUUAAUGA
rnacentral:tRNA from 1 species